rnacentral:tmRNA from 1 species
GGGGAUGAUCGGUUUCGACAUUGCCUGCAAAACCGCGAGAAGCGGGUCGAGGACGCACGGUUAUCUCGUAAACGAUCUGUGCAAACUAUAAGUGCCAAUUCACAUAGCACUGUCUCUGCCAAGGCAGACCUCGCCCUCGCGGCGUAGUCUCCUUCGCACUAAAUAGAGACCGUCAGCCCGGAGUUGUUCCUGAUCCGGUCCCUGGCGUUAUCAAGGGAACUUGCUGCGUAUUUGAGCCUCAGGGGCACGCGGGACUCUUACUGAGACUGGGCUUGUUGACCUAGAUGUUCGUGGCAAAGGUCAAAGCCGAGUAGAACGCCUGCACGAACUACGCCCGUAGAAGGCGCGGAAUUACAGCAGUGGACCGGGGUUCAAUUCCCCGCAUCUCCACCA